rnacentral:pre_miRNA from 1 species
UGAUGAUGAUGAUGAUGAUGAUGAUGAUGAUGAUGAUGAUGAUGAUGAUGACGACGACGACGAUGAUGAUGAUGAUAAUCAUCAUCCUCAUCAUCAUCUUCAUCAUCAUUCGGU